AGCCAACCAAAUAUGGACUGAAACCUCCACAAACUAGCUUUUUCAUCUUCUCCAACUGCUCCUCUUUCCCCACUGAACACAACUCCACAUCCUCGUCUUCCCAGCCUCUGACAACCGCGCUUCUCGUCUCUGUGGAUCUGACGACUCCAAGCAUCACCACGCUCUGCUUCACGAUUAGAUUUCUGCUGAGAAAAGUGCGGGUAGAUGAUUCAGCAUGGUCUGAAUGUCACAGAGUGUGCUUUGUGCAUUAAAUGGCUACAAUGUCACUAGCUGGGCAUCUUCUGUGUAGACCCCGGCCUUCUAGAAAUGACCUCCAGGGUGCCCAACCUGAAUCUGCAUGGCGCUCUGCCUCUCUUCCUGAGUAAGUCGUGUUUAUCCUCUGGACCUCCGUUUCCCCACAGCAGAGAAGACCUUAAGAUGACCCUUCCAGGGGACCAGCAGCACAGGGACAAUGACCACCAGAGGCUCUGGGAAGCCCUGGGCCGAGCAGUUGGGAACACAUGUUGCAUUUCCAGCCUGCAGCGUCAAGGAACACAGUCCAGCCAACAGGCAAAUUCUGCCAACAAGUGUUCCUCCAUUAAUUGAUUUCUUUAACAUGAACAUUCUCAUUACAAAAAGAAGAAAAGCUCUUCAGCCCAAGGACAUGUUCAGAGUUGUUGAAAGUGGAUGGUGAAUGUGAGGCCAGUUGAUUACUCAUCUUACUUCUUUGUGAAUUUGAAAUGUUUUCUAACAACAAAAUAAAUUCGAAGGUAUUGGCU